rnacentral:rRNA from 1 species
UUGUUCGGAUUCAUUGGGCGUAAAGGGUGUGUAGGUGGCGCCGUAAGUCGGGUGUGAAAUUUCGGAGCUUAACUCCGAAACUGCAUUCGAUACUGCGGUGCUUGAGGACUGGAGAGGAGACUGGAAUUCAUGGUGUAGCAGUGAAAUGCGUAGAGAUCAUGAGGAAGACCAGUGGCGAAGGCGGGUCUCUGGACAGUUCCUGACACUGAGACACGAAGGCCAGGGGAGCAAACGGG